GAUGAACGCUGGCGGCGUGCCUAAUACAUGCAAGUCGAGCGAACGGACGAGAAGCUUGCUUCUCUGAUGUUAGCGGCGGACGGGUGAGUAACACGUGGAUAACCUACCUAUAAGACUGGGAUAACUUCGGGAAACCGGAGCUAAUACCGGAUGAUAUUUUGAACCGCAUGGUUCAAAAGUGAAAGACGGUCUUGCUGUCACUUAUAGAUGGAUCCGCGCUGCAUUAGCUAGUUGGUAAGGUAGCGGCUUACCAAGGCAACGAUGCAUAGCCGACCUGAGAGGGUGAUCGGCCACACUGGAACUGAGACACGGUCCAGACUCCUACGGGAGGCAGCAGUAGGGAAUCUUCCGCAAUGGGCGAAAGCCUGACGGAGCAACGCCGCGUGAGUGAUGAAGGUCUUCGGAUCGUAAAACUCUGUUAUUAGGGAGGAACAUAUGUGUAAGUAACUGUGCACAUCUUGACGGUACCUAAUCAGAAAGCCACGGCUAACUACGUG
rnacentral:rRNA from 1 species